GGGAUUGCCCUAGUAACGGCGAGUGAAGCGGCAACAGCUCAAAUUUGAAAUCUGGCGUCUUUGGCGUCCGAGUUGUAAUUUGCAGAGGGCGCUUUGGCAUUGGCAGCGGUCCAAGUUCCUUGGAACAGGACGUCACAGAGGGUGAGAAUCCCGUACGUGGUCGCUAGCCUUUACCGUGUAAAGCCCCUUCGACGAGUCGAGUUGUUUGGGAAUGCAGCUCUAAAUGGGAGGUAAAUUUCUUCUAAAGCUAAAUACUGGCCAGAGACCGAUAGCGCACAAGUAGAGUGAUCGAAAGAUGAAAAGCACUUUGGAAAGAGAGUUAAAAAGCACGUGAAAUUGUUGAAAGGGAAGCGCUUGCAGCCAGACUUGCCUGUAGUUGCUCAUCCGGGUUUCUACCCGGUGCACUCUUCUAUAGGCAGGCCAGCAUCAGUUUGGGCGGUUGGAUAAAGGUCUCUGUCAUGUACCUCCUUUCGGGGAGAACUUAUAGGGGAGACGACAUGCAACCAGCCCGGACUGAGGUCCGCGCAUCUGCUAGGAUGCUGGCGUAAUGGCUGUAAGCGGCCCGUCUUGAAACACGGACCAAGGAGUCUAACAUCUAUGCGAGUGUUUGGGUGUCAAGCCCGAGCGCGUAAUGAAAGUGAACGGAGGUGGGAACCUUUCGGGGUGCACCAUCGACCGAUCCUGAUGUCUUCGGAUGGAUUUGAGUAAGAGCAUAGCUGUUGGGACCCGAAAGAUGGUGAACUAUGCUUGAAUAGGGUGAAGCCAGAGGAAACUCUGGUGGAGGCUCGCAGCGGUUCUGACGUGCAAAUCGAUCGUCAAAUUUGGGCAUA
rnacentral:rRNA from 1 species